AUUUUUUGAUUUCAAAGAGUGGCGAACGGGUGAGUAACACGUGGGUAACCUACCUCUUAGCAGGGGAUAACAUUUGGAAACAAGUGCUAAUACCGUAUAAUACCAACAACCGCAUGGUUGUUGGUUGAAAGAUGGUUCUGCUAUCACUAAGAGAUGGACCCGCGGUGCAUUAGCUAGUUGGUAAGGUAAUGGCUUACCAAGGCAAUGAUGCAUAGCCGAGUUGAGAGACUGAUCGGCCACAAUGGGACUGAGACACGGCCCAUACUCCUACGGGAGGCAGCAGUAGGGAAUCUUCCACAAUGGGCGCAAGCCUGAUGGAGCAACGCCGCGUGUGUGAUGAAGGGUUUCGGCUCGUAAAACACUGUUAUAAGAGAAGAACGGCACUGAGAGUAACUGUUCAGUGUGUGACGGUAUCUUACCAGAAAGGAACGGCUAAAUACGUGCCAGCAGCCGCGGUAAUACGUAUGUUCCAAGCGUUAUCCGGAUUUAUUGGGCGUAAAGCGAGCGCAGACGGUUAUUUAAGUCUGAAGUGAAAGCCCUCAGCUCAACUGAGGAAUUGCUUUGGAAACUGGAUGACUUGAGUGCAGUAGAGGAAAGUGGAACUCCAUGUGUAGCGGUGAAAUGCGUAGAUAUAUGGAAGAACACCAGUGGCGAAGGCGGCUUUCUGGACUGUAACUGACGUUGAGGCUCGAAAGU
rnacentral:rRNA from 1 species